AGCUGCUGACCUUCACCACAGCUACAGCAACUUGGGAUUCAAGCUGCGUCUGCAACCUACACCACAGCUCAUGGCAACGCCGGAUCCUUAACCCACUGAGCGAGGCCAGGGAUCGAACCUGAAACCUCAUGGAUCCUAGUCGGAUUUGUUAACCACUGAGCCACGACGGGAACUCCCCUUUUCAUAUUGAUUUUUCAAAACUCAUUCUGGAGUUCCCACUGUGGCUCAGCAGGUUAAGGACCUGACAUAGUCUCUUCGAGGAUGCAGCUUUGAUCCCUGGCCUCGCUCAUUGUGUUAAGGAUCCAGCCUUGCUGCAAGCUGCAGCAGGUCACAGAUGCAUCUUGGAUCACACGUUUCUGUGGCUGUGACAUAGACUGGCAGCUGCAGAUUCCACCCCUAGCCUGGGAACCUCCUUAUGCUGCAGGUGCAGCUUUUAGGGAAAAAAGAGGGGGAGAAAAAAAAUUCCUUUUGGUCAAGAUAAGAGGAAGGUGUGCUAAUAUCUUGACAUAAAUUAUCUGCUGGUUUUUAUACCCCUGUAUCCUCUAAUCUUCUCUGAGGACAACCUCUUGGCUCCAACUCAUUUCUGCACCAAAAAUGUUCAUUUUCUUGCUCUCUUCCUCCCACACUGUCAACUUCAUGAAUAAAAGAUUUCUUUGGAGACUGCUGUGAAAUGCCAGUGGCCGUUCCAUUUGACACUUCUAACAGUCUUAAAAAAGGUAUGUCUGGAGAAGCACAGCAUAAAUAGAGUAAAUAGCAGAAGGCUGAAAGAAAAGCAACACAGGUAAUUAAGUGACCUUAGUAUUGACGAUUGAAGAUAUUAAUACAAACCACAUUGCUUUCCUAACGCCAAGUGAAAGAGGGGGAUUGAUGACGUGGUAACAGCCGAUAGAAUAAACAACCAAAGGAGAAAGACAUCUGUGGCUGGUAUCAAGGGUAAGAGUCCAGAUUUUUGGAGGGAACUUAAUACCGAAACAUGGAGGCUGAAUAUCGGAAGAAAGUUCCAGUUGGUGGAAGGCUAGGGGCAUGGCUUCGGAAGGCUUCGUGGGGCUGCCACUGACCUGAAAUUCUGUGACCAAAUCAAGUCCGAGGAUGCUGAUGACAGACCAUCUCAUGGAGACCAAGCAUGUGUGAGGGGUUCUCUCAUUCUCUCCCCUGGCCUUUUAUUCACAGUGGAUUUGGACAAAGCAAAAGGAAAAAUGAAUAAAGGCAGAAAAAAAAGUGAUGAGGGAACUUUUCUGGUGCAUGCGAACAAUGUCAGUCUAUCAUUUUUGUCUUCAAAAAAAAACCAGUCUAGAGGGAUAGACAUCAGCUAGUUUUCUAGCUUAUUCAAGACUAAAUGACAGUGAGGGAAAUGGGGCUGCCUCUCAAAAGGUCCAAACUUCCAGCAUAAGGUGAAUCCGUUCAGAGGAUCCGUGGUACAGCGUGGCAAUUAUAACUAACAACACUUUAUCACAUGCUUGAAAGUUGCUGGAUACAUCCUAAAUGUUCUCACCACAAGAAAGAAAUGGUGGCGUUCCCGUUGUGGCU
ensembl:lncRNA